rnacentral:rRNA from 1 species
UACGGAGGAUGCGAGCGUUAUCCGGAUUUAUUGGGUUUAAAGGGUGCGCAGGCGGAGGCACAAGUCAGCGGUAAAAUCGCGGGGCUCAACCCCGCUCCGCCGUUGAAACUGGCAGUCUCGAGUUGGAGAGAAGUAUGCGGAAUGCGUGGUGUAGCGGUGAAAUGCAUAGAUAUCACGCAGAACUCCGAUUGCGAAGGCAGCAUACCGGCGCCCGACUGACGCUGAGGCACGAAAGUGCGGGUAUCGAACAGG